UGUCGGGUUAAUAUGGUAUAGCCCUGCGGAGAGUCUGGCCCCGGGAGGCACGUGAUGCAAGUCAGGCAAUGAGGUGCUUCAGUCAGGGCUGCUGCUGCUACCCUAACCGCAAAGCAUUUACUCAUUUACUAUGUAGAUAUUAACAUUUUAUUCCUGCCGGCUGCCGCGUCUGACUUUGAACAUGAUACAUAGCUACGUAGGUCAGCAACAUUCUGGUCCACACUCCACGCCAGGUGGUGGCAGUAAUUCACAUCGUCGUUGUGUGCCAACCGGCAGAAAACCACAAAGAAGAAGCUAUCCGGGUCCUUCAACGCAGGUUGCUAAGUUACUAUCUUUGGAGCUUACCCUUGCUGAUAGUACAAUGACUUGGUGCACAGAUGAGUGAGUAAAAGUGGCUUCAUCAAAAAUUCUUAAAGUGGAAUAUGAAAAUCACACAUUUAAUAAUGAAUGGACAGAAGCAUGUUGUCUCUGACAGCACAACAGUGAACAUACGAGUGUUCACUGAGAGUACAGUGGAUUUUACUGACUGGGAAAUGAUCAAAGAAUGCCUGGAAGCUGUGGCAGAAACACUUUAAGAUGAAUAAAGAAGGACAACAACGUAAGGAAAAAGAAGCUACACCUGGCCUGAAUCUGUGUUUAGACGUGACACCAUCCUGGAGAGGGGCAUCGUCCAAGCUUCUGCUGCCAACAACUUAAUGCUCACCUUCUACAAAUGAUCCACUUGGCCCUGUCUCUCCUAGACAUAGCUACUGGCUAAGCUUCUACUGUGCUCUCUUUCAUACUCUAGACUUGAAAACUGGCUCAGAGUUCAUCUGCUUACCUGUCUUUCUCUCCUAGAAUAAACCACUAAAGGAGUUAUAACCAUUAA